rnacentral:pre_miRNA from 1 species
UUUCUACUCCCUUCGUCCGGAAAUACUUGUUUUAGAAAUGGUUGUAUCUAGACUUAUUUUAGUUAUAGAUACAUCUAUUUUAUCCAUUUUUAGGACAAGUAUUUCCGGACGGAGGGAGUACUUC